AAAGUUAUCUUUUGUUUGGAUUUACUUUCACCGGGAAUCCAACAUCACAGAUUCCGUUAUGCUUGGUGUGUGGGGAAAAGCUAUCCAACCAUGCCAUGGUCCCAAGCAAGCUUAAACAAUAUCUCCAAACAAAACACCUUUCCCUUCAAAACAAGAACACGGACUAUUUUGUUCGCCUGUGCGAACACACCGAGAAACAGGUCACGAAUUGCAGCUGCCUGUUCAGAGCAGAGAGAAGAGGACUCGACAGUAUCAUGCGCUUCUCUCCCUCUCCUUUGACAGAGACAUUGUCAACCGUAGCAGCAACAUCAAAAGUCCCGAGUGUUGCUGUUAAACACACCUAAUACAUAAACCCAAACCUAUGGAGAGAGAGGAGCGACGUCAGGUGAUGGAGAAGCAUUUCAAAUAACAGACUUAGACAGCAAAUGCAGCACUUAUAAUGGGUGAAGAGGAAACUUCACCUGUUAUUGGUGAUCACUGGUAACUGUUUCUUUGAUAUUGUAUGUUGUGUCAUGUUAAACAUGCAGUUACCAGGA